rnacentral:piRNA from 1 species
UGUUAGAAUUCACUGAAAUUC